AAUGAACGUUGGCGGCGUGGAUUAGGCAUGCAAGUCGCGCGACAAGGAACCUUCGGGUUCUGGAGGAGCGGCAAACGGGGUAGUAAGGCAUCGGAACGUACCCUCUUGUUGGGAAUAGCCGCGGGAAACUGCGAGUAAUGCCCAAUAAUCCCUACGGGGCAAAGGUCCGCCGCAGGAGGAGCGGCCGAUGUGAUACCAGCUAGUUGGUGAGGUAAUGGCUCACCAAGGCUUAGACGUCUAGGGGGUGUGAGAGCAUGGCCCCCACCACUGGGACUGAGAUACUGCCCAGACACCUACGGGUGGCUGCAGUCGAGAAUCUUCGGCAAUGGGCGCAAGCCUGACCGAGCAACGCCGCGUGCGGGAUGAAGGCCCUUGGGUUGUAAACUCCUGUCACAUGUUAUGAAACGCACAGGUCUACCUGUGCGCUGACAAAAGCAUGAGAGGAAGUCAACGGCUAACUUCGUGCCAGCAGCCGCGGUAAUGUGACU
rnacentral:rRNA from 1 species